rnacentral:rRNA from 1 species
ACGAACGCUGGCGGCGUGCCUAAUACAUGCAAGUCGAGCGGAAUGAUGAAGAAGCUUGCUUCUUCUGAUUCUAGCGGCGGACGGGUGAGUAACACGUGGGCAACCUACCUUGUAGAUUGGGAUAACUCCGGGAAACCGGGGCUAAUACCGAAUAAUCCAUUUUGCUUCAUGGCGAGAUGUUAAAAGGCGGCUUCGGCUGUCACUACGAGAUGGGCCCGCGGCGCAUUAGCUAGUUGGUAGGGUAAUGGCCUACCAAGGCGACGAUGCGUAGCCGACCUGAGAGGGUGAUCGGCCACACUGGGACUGAGACACGGCCCAGACUCCUACGGGAGGCAGCAGUAGGGAAUCUUCCACAAUGGACGAAAGUCUGAUGGAGCAACGCCGCGUGAGUGAAGAAGGUUUUCGGAUCGUAAAACUCUGUUGUAAGGGAAGAACACGUACGAGAGUAACUGCUCGUACCUUGACGGUACCUUAUUAGAAAGCCACGGCUAACUACGUG